rnacentral:tRNA from 1 species
GGUGGCUCAGUGGUAGAGUGCUUGCCUUGCAAGCAUGAGGCCCUGCGUUUGAUUCCUCAGCACCA